rnacentral:rRNA from 1 species
AUGGGGUCCGGGGACUGGUUCAAGACCAUCAUCAGCAAGAAGAAGUCGAAACGGGGCAAGUCAAAGCACGCAAAGAAGGUUGCUGCUCAACGCAAUGGAGCCAACCUGCCACAGCAAAAGCCCAGCAACGCUCCUUCUUCCAGCAGCGACCCUGAAGAUAAUGCAGCACUAGAAGAUUGGGCGGCUACUCGGAUUCAGAACGCGUUUCGGCGCCACAAGGCAAGGAGGACUCUCCGUUGUCUCAGGGGAGUUAAAAGACUGCGCAUUGUUGGCCAGAGCAAUCCGGUUACCAAGCAGACCAGUGCCACAUUGAGCUACAUACAGUCUUGGAACAAGUUACAGGCUGAGCUAAGAAACCGGCGUGCUUUCAUGGUCACUGAAGGGCGCAACAGGAAGAAGAAGCAAGAGAAUCAAGUCAAACUUGACGCGAAACUCCAGAAUCUGCAGGUUGCGUGGAAUGGAGGCUCGAAUACCAUGGAUGAAAUAGUUGCCAGGAUACAUCUAAGGGAAGAAGCAGCAGUAAAGCGUGAGCGAGCCAUGGCCUAUGCGUUUAACCAUCAGUGGAGGGCAAAGUCUGCCACAAGCCAAGGAAACUUCAACUAUGGGGUUGGGAACGGUGGCUGGGGCUGGAGCUGGAUGGACCGCUGGAUCGCCGCACGACCAUGGGAGCCCCGAUCCAUGGUCACCCCUGAAAACACCAAGAAGGGACAAUCAAAGAAGGACAACACCAGCACAAACCAGUCAGCUCUGAAGCUGCAAGGCGCAAUCAGUCUAAGCAACAACACCAGUGACCGGAAAGUUCCCAAGAACAAGUCAUCUCCCUCUCCUGACAAGAAGAAACCGGUAGCGAGAACGGAGCAGAAACCAGUAGCGAAAACAGAGCAGAAACCAAAGGCGGCCGGCCCUCCCAAGGCGAAGCCAAAGGACAUGAAGAGGAACCAGGAGAAGCAGCAACAACCCGCGGUGUCUGCGAUCACUGCUUGA